GCCAGGCACGGUGGCUCAUGCCUGUAAUCCCAGCAUUUGGGAGGCCAAGGCAGGAGGAUCACUUGAGCCCAGGAGUUAGAGACCAACCUGGGCAACAUGGUGAGAUCCUGUUUUUA
rnacentral:SRP_RNA from 1 species